GAUGAACGCUGGCGGCGUGCCUAAUACAUGCAAGUCGAGCGAACAGACGAGGAGCUUGCUCCUCUGACGUUAGCGGCGGACGGGUUAGUCACACGUGGAUAACCUACCUAUAAGACUGGGAUAACUUCGGGAAACCGGAGCUAAUACCGGGUAAUAUCUUGAACCGAAUGGUUCAAUAGUGAAAGGCGGUUUUGCUGUCACUUAUAGAUGGAUCCGCGCCGCAUUAGCGAGUUGGUAAGGUAACGGCGUACCAAGUCGACGUUGGGUAGCCGACCUCCGAGGGUGAGCGGCAAAGCUGGAAUUGAGACACGGUCCAGCACACUACGGGAGGGAGCAGUAGGGAACCUUCCGGAAUGGGCGAAGUCCUGACGGAGCAACGCCGCGUGAGUGAUGAAGGUCGUCGGAUCGUGAGACUCUGUUAUGAGGGAAGAAUAAAUGUGUAAGUAACUAGGCAAGUCUUGACGGUACCUAGUCAGAAAGGCACGGCUAACUACGUU
rnacentral:rRNA from 1 species